ensembl:lncRNA
ACUCCCGCCCCUCCCGGGCAAAUCAUCUACCGCAACCCAGGCCCGGGCAACCCACCCACAUCUCUGCGCUACCGGCACGUGGGCGGCCACCCUCCAAAACGCCGGCUUGCACUUUCAGUUUUACCCUGUGGGGCGCAGCAGGCUGCGCCGGCCUGCCUUCAUUCAUCGGUUCCUCGAGUCCUUCAUUCACUCCACACAGGGAUGUCUGCAAGUGGGCUACUGGGCUGGGAGUUACCGGGACCACCUUCCCCAGGGCCCAGUGGAGCGCAGUGCCUGGCCCCAAUUCCAUGCCCUGCAAGGCCCGGAACUCGUAUGCGGUCCACCGCCCCUGCGGCCACCGAGCGUACCGGCGCCAGGACGCAUGGGCCCUGCGACCCUCUGGCAGCACCAAGGAUCCAGGCCCACCUUGCUAACCAGGCGCCCCUACCUAGGGCAUGCACGCCUGAUCCACAGCCAAGUUACCCUGCAGAGGCCUGGGGGGCGGACGCCUCCAUCACCAUGAGAACUUUGGGGACCCAAGGGCCCAGUUCCCCCACCUUGGACACAUGACUGGCCUUCUCCUCAGGGUGUGCUGGGCCGAGACACGUGGCCAGUGCCCACCCCACCGACCCUGGGCAGUGUCCUCUGUUAGAACCUAUUGGCAGGGGCAAACCCAUGUGGUGGGGGCCUAGUCUGUUACCCAAGGCAAGUAAGAUCAUGUGUGCCAGGCACAGGGAGGUCAAACAAACCUAUCGUAGUUUGGGGCAGAGGAAGGUUUACUACUGGGCGGAGUCAGGAGAACAGAGUGGUGGCCGUGGUUUAAUUGCUAAGUCCUGUCUGACUCUUGCAACCCCAUGGACUAUAGCCUGCCAAGUUCCUCUAUUCAUGGGAUUCUCCAGGCAAGAAUACUGGAGAGGGUUGCCAUUUCUGGUAACCAAAACCCUCAACUCCUCCAUGGUUUUUUUGACUAAAAAAGAUGCACAACUUGAGAGUUGUGAGUGAAGUUUUAUUUGGGACAAAAUGAGGACAGCAGCCCAGGAGACAGCACCUCAGAUAGCUCUGAGAGACUGCUCCAUAGAGGCAGUGGGGGAGGUCAGUGUAUAAG